AUUCCACCAUUUCCACCAUCAGCGUGUGCUUUGAUUCUCGGCUUAAAACCGCGUUCAGUAUCACGGAAUAUGGUGGUGGAAUACGGUGCUGUUAAAAGUACAAAAGGCUGAUUGGUGUAAUAGUGUAGCGAAGCGAAAACCUCCAUCCUUUUUUUCCCGUGUAUAGUGGGUUGGUGCUCGGGUUUAGCUCGGCAUAUCCCCCUACUCUACCAAUGAAGUUGUUCGGAGUGCAAAGGUUUUUCGCUUGGAAUAUUGGCAAUGCAUGAAAAUCCAACAAAGAAAGUUGUACAGCUUUAGUAGUGGUGGGUGGCUAAAUGAUGAACUUUUCCGUCACCAUGUAACCGGGCUUAAGGCGACGACCUAAAACCACCCGGAAGCGGUUGUCCCCGGUUUAGGGGAAGUGUUCCCUUACUUUCUCCAUCGCCCAUCCGUCGAGCAUGAGCUGUCAAACAACAUCCUGGAACUUUUGGAAUGUCACAUCGCUCCAUCGCUUCAAACGGGAGAAAGUGCAUUUCGUGAACAAAGGCCUGCAUUUUCCUCGUCAAUCUCUCUCUCUCUCUCUCUCACACACGUUGGUUGAAGCAUUCAUGGGAGACUAUUUUCAUUAGUGUGCUUCCGGGCGGUCACACUAUCAGAGCAGGCCUUGUCGGGAGGUAUCAGUUCAGAGCAGGCAUGAGACAAUCAAGUUGAAGCGGCGGUUUGCUCUUCACCAAGGGUGCGAAUAGGAAAUUGAAGCAAGGAAUGCUAGCAACGAUACUACCGUCCGUCCGGAUCGUCUUAUUGAAUUGCUGAAAUGCUUCAUGAAGUACCAUGCGUUUCCAUCGACGAUGUACG